rnacentral:rRNA from 1 species
AGUAAUGUCUGGGAAACUGCCUGAUGGAGGGGGAUAACUGCUGGAAACGGUAGCUAAUACCGCAUAACGUCGCAAGACCAAAGAGGGGGACCUUCGGGCCUCUUGCCAUCGGAUGUGCCCAGAUGGGAUUGGCUAGUAGGUGGGGUGACGGCUCACCUAGGCGACGAUCCCUAGCUGGUCUGAGAGGAUGGCCAGCCACACUGGAACUGAGACACGGUCCAG